UGCACGCGCAACACAGACAGGCACGUAACUGUUUUGAGACUGUCUGGAGUCUGUCUGAAACUGAACAAAUUGGAGAUGGAGUUUUAAGUCUCCAUCUAAAUUGAUAAGAAAUAAUGAAUUCAACAUGGGAAUUUACAAUCACUCAACAACGCUAGCGAUUGAAUUACCGCGCAAUAUAAAUCAAUAUUUAGGCUGACGCUUUGAAAGUUUUUUCAAUGUUUAUCAUCAGACAAUUCAUUAUUUACAGUGUGCUCUUAACCCGCAGGUAUCAUCUUCUUUCGUCCUGACAAAAAGCCUAUUUGCCCGAAGUUUAAGCCUAAUGGAGCGUUUCAAUGGAGCAGUUAUUUGAAAGAAGGCCCUUAUGACAUCUUGAACCCUGUACAUAAACCCCAUGUCUGUGGUGAGGACACUGUUCCAUGGCUGAUGCGUGUGAGGAGAAUGGCUGUGCUCUGCACCACGAAGAAGAUGUCAUGCUGAGGAUGGGUUUCUACACUGAUGUUGUUGGUGUGAUGUACUGUAGCGGUGGCUCUCUCACUUGUGUCUCUGUUGGCCAUGAUGCGUAACCAUAGAGAGUGAGUGACAGCCUGGUCCCCACACAGCAUAUGGGGCCUGAGAACCACAGACUCCUUUCAGAAGCAGUGAGGACUGACCAGUCUGCAAGCGAGACACUGGCCUUUCUCCCAUCAUGCCAGUCACUGACUGUUCUAGGCGUUUUGUUCAAAGACUAGUGCCACAAGUAUGGAAAUACAGAUAAAUCAUUGUAACAAAUGAAAGAGGGAAAAAAAGGGUUAAAUGCCUGGAAAUGGUCACCGUCCACCACUUGUACCACUACCUGGUGCAUUUUGUUUUGAAAGUUUUGCCAACAUUUACAGUUGUUGACGGAUCUGUAGAGCGGAGGUAUCUUUCUACACACGCAGAUUAUGAGAGCCCUCAGUGUAAAUAACAUAUUUUUGUUUCUUUGAAUUUAAGAUGUCAUUACCAAUGACCUUUCACAGUUUGCUGAUGAUAUGCCCGAAUGUACUCUUUCAGAUAAACAUUCUACAUAGUUUGUUAGAUAUGGAAACAUGCAAAUGUCAUGUGACGUUUACGAGAAAAGAAUCAAAACAGUAUAAAGCAAGUCUGUUUAGUAUUACGUUUUGCAGGCUAUAUGUUAUUUGGGUAAUUCAUAGAAGCUCUGUAAGUAUGUAAAACAUGUUGUUGUUUUUUUAUAUUUAAAAACAAUAUCCACAGUAUAUGUAUUGUCUUAAUCAAGUAUCCCCCAACAGUCCGAAUGGAGGAGUAGUCCAAUGGCGGUUUUGGUUAUAUUGUGAUGAUUGAACGAGUUGAAGCAGUCGUAGGCUGGGAUAUAAGGCCCACCUGACUAGUAUAAGGAAGAAUCUGGAAACAUAGCAACAUAUAUCUCAAAUGAUAUCCAAUACAUUGGAUCCAUCUUUAUUUUGUACAUUUUUUUGGUCAAAGUGAUGAGAAAAAUAUUGUUCACCAUUUUGUGUAAUGUUGUGAUUGUCCUUCUCAUAAUAAAAAUGAAGACGUA